rnacentral:rRNA from 1 species
ACUCCUACGGGAGGCAGCAGUGGGGAAUAUUGCACAAUGGGCGCAAGCCUGAUGCAGCCAUGCCGCGUGUGUGAAGAAGGCCUUCGGGUUGUAAAGCACUUUCAGUCGUGAGGAAGGUGGUGUAGUUAAUAGCUGCAUCAUUUGACGUUAGCGACAGAAGAAGCACCGGCUAACUCCGUGCCAGCAGCCGCGGUAAUACGGAGGGUGCGAGCGUUAAUCGGAAUUACUGGGCGUAAAGCGCAUGCAGGUGGUUUGUUAAGUCAGAUGUGAAAGCCCGGGGCUCAACCUCGGAAUAGCAUUUGAAACUGGCAGACUAGAGUACUGGUAGAGGGGGUAGAAUUUCAGGUGUAGCGGUGAAAUGCGUAGAGAUCUGAAGGAAUACCGGUGGCGAAGGCGGCCCCCUGGACAGAUACUGACACUCAGAUGCGAAAGCGUGGGGAGCAAACAGGAUUAGAUACCCUGGUAGGACAGUG